UGGGGAAUAUUGGACAAUGGGCGAAAGCCUGAUCCAGCCAUGCCGCGUGUGUGAAGAAGGUCUUCGGAUUGUAAAGCACUUUAAGUUGGGAGGAAGGGCAUUAACCUAAUACGUUAGUGUUUUGACGUUACCUACAGAAUAAGCACCGGCUAACUCUGUGCCAGCAGCCGCGGUAAUACAGAGGGUGCAAGCGUUAAUCGGAAUUACUGGGCGUAAAGCGCGCGUAGGUGGUCUGUUAAGUUGGAUGUGAAAUCCCCGGGCUCAACCUGGGAACUGCAUUCAAAACUGACUGACUAGAGUAUGGUAGAGGGUGGUGGAAUUUCCUGUGUAGCGGUGAAAUGCGUAGAUAUAGGAAGGAACACCAGUGGCGAAGGCGACCACCUGGACUAAUACUGACACUGAGGUGCGAAAGCGUGGGGAGCAAACA
rnacentral:rRNA from 1 species